AUUGAACGCUGGCGGCAGGCCUAACACAUGCAAGUCGAGCGGUAGCACAGAGAGCUUGCUCUCGGGUGACGAGCGGCGGACGGGUGAGUAAUGUCUGGGAAACUGCCUGAUGGAGGGGGAUAACUACUGGAAACGGUAGCUAAUACCGCAUAACGUCGCAAGACCAAAGUGGGGGACCUUCGGGCCUCAUGCCAUCAGAUGUGCCCAGAUGGGAUUAGCUAGUAGGUGGGUUAACGGCUCACCUAGGCGACGAUCCCUAGCUGGUCUGAGAGGAUGACCAGCCACACUGGAACUGAGACACGGUCCAGACUCCUACGGGAGGCAGCAGUGGGGAAUAUUGCACAAUGGGCGCAAGCCUGAUGCAGCCAUGCCGCGUGUGUGAAGAAGGCCUUCGGGUUGUAAAGCACUUUCAGCGGGGAGGAAGGCGGUGAGGUUAAUAACCUCACCGAUUGACGUUACCCGCAGAAGAAGCACCGGCUAACUCCGUGCCAGCCGCCGCGGUAAUAC
rnacentral:rRNA from 1 species